rnacentral:rRNA from 1 species
CACGCCCUAAACGAUGCGAACUGGAUGUUGGGUGCAAUUUGGCACGCAGUAUCGAAGCUAACGCGUUAAGUUCGCCGCCUGGGGAGUACGGUCGCAAGACUGAAACUCAAAGGAAUUGACGGGGGCCCGCACAAGCGGUGGAGUAUGUGGUUUAAUUCGAUGCAACGCGAAGAACCUUACCUGGCCUUGACAUGUCGAGAACUUUCCAGAGAUGGAUUGGUGCCUUCGGGAACUCGAACACAGGUGCUGCAUGGCUGUCGUCAGCUCGUGUCGUGAGAUGUUGGGUUAAGUCCCGCAACGAGCGCAACCCUUGUCCUUAGUUGCCAGCACGUAAUGGUGGGAACUCUAAGGAGACCGCCGGUGACAAACCG